UUAGCGAGAAAGCUUUCUUAAAUUUCCAAUUGACCACCCGGUACAACUCCAAUUCAGAAGCUUUCGUUAGAUCUAGAGAAUAGCAAACUCUAGCACGCUGAUCCAAUGAAAUCGCUAAAAUCAACCAAGAACACAGGAAAAAGAGUUUGCAGAGCAGAAAUUCUUACAUAAUACUUAUAAUGAUGUCUCGCUCGUUGGCGCAAGCUGGUUCUGUGCGUGAGUGAAAUCACAAUGCAAGAGGAAGGAGAGUCAUCGGGCAGCAAUUCCUGUGUUUGUGCCGGUGUGCUAAAAGCAGUAAAAAAUGUUAAUGUGGAGCGAGGCGAGAAGAGGAGUGAGAAUUCCAGCAAUUCUUUGGUGCUGAACUCACCUACUUAAUGUUUUCUCCUUCUUCCCGAGAAAAGACGAAGCCACCGACCACUGUCUUGGAAC
rnacentral:lncRNA from 1 species